UAGAUCGACCGGUAAAUUGAGAGCUUUGCCUUCCGGCUCAGCUCCUUCUUCACCACAACGGAUCGAUACAGCGUCCGCAUUACUGAAAACGCCGCACCGAUCCGCCUGUCGAUCUCACGAUCCGCUCUUCCCUCACUCGUGAAAAAGACUCCGAGGUACUUGAACUCUUCCACAUGGGGCAAGAUCUCUUCCCAAACCCGGAGAUGGCACUCCACCCUUUUCUGGGCGAGAACCAUGGACUCGGACUUGGAGGUGCUGAUUCCCAUGCCGGUCGCUUCACACUCGGCUGCGAACCGAUCCAGUUAGAGCUGAAGAUCGUGGCCAGCUGAAGCCAUAAGACCACAUCAUCUGCAAAAAGCAGAGACCUAAUCCUGCAGGCACCAAACCGGAUCCCCUCAAAUGACUGCACCCAGAAAUUCUGUCCAUAAAAAUUAUGAACAGAAUCGGUGACAUCGUUAGGAAUCCAUUCAGUUGUAAACAAAUUAAUGUUUCUAACUCCUGUUAUUUGUUGGAAGCUAAUUUGCAGAUUCAUAUAGGAAUUAGUUAAAAGGAAAGUGUUUUGUGGUUGGCUUAGUGGUUGUUUUGUUUCCCCAAUAUACACUAUAUUGCCAAAAGUAUUUGGCCACCCAUCCAAAUGAGAAAAUCAGGUGUCCUAAUCACUUGGCCCGGCCACAGGUGUAUAAAAUCAAGCACUUAGGCAUGGAGACUGUUUCUACAAACAUUUGUGAAAGAAUGGGCCACUCUCAGGAGCUCAGUGAUUUCCAGUGUGGAACUGUCAUAGGAUUCCACCUGUGCAACAAAUCCAGUCGUGAAAUUUCCUCAGUCCUAAAUAUUCCAAAGUCAACUGUCGGCUUUAUUAUAAGAAAAUGGAAGAGUUUGGGAACAACAGCAACUCAGCCCCCAAGUGGUAGGCCACGUAAAACUGACAGAGAGGGGUCAGCGGAUGCUGAAGCGCAUAGUGCAAAGAGGUUGCCGACUUUCUGCACAGUCAGUUGCUACAGAGCUCCAAACUGCAUGUGACCUUCCAAUUAGCCCACGUACAGUACGCAGAGAGCUUCAUGGAAUGGGUUUCCAUGGCCGAGCAGCUGCAUCUAAGGCAUACAUCACCAAGUCCAAUGCAAAGCGUCGGAUCAGUGAGACGGGUUCUCUGGAGUGAUGAAUCAUGCUUUUCCAUCUAGCAAUCUGAUGGACGAGUCUGGGUUUGGAGGUUGCCAGAAGAACGGUACAUUUCAGACUGCAUUGUGCCAAGUGUGAAAUUUGGUGGAAAAGGAAUUAUGGUGUGGGGUUGUUUUUCAGGAGUUGGGCUUGGCCCCUUAGUUCCAGUGAAAGGAACUUUGAAUGCUCCAGGAUACCAAAACAUUUUGGACAAUUCCAUGCUCCCAACCUUGUGGGAACAGUUUGGAGCGGGCCCCUUCCUCUUCCAACAUGACUGUGCACCAGCAAGGUCCAUAAAUACAUAGAUGACAGAGUCUGGUGUGAAUUUACUUGACUGGCCUGCACAGAGUCCUGACCUGAACCCGAUAGAACACCUAUUGGAUGAAUUAGAACGGAGACUGACAGCCAGGCCUUCUCGACCAACAUCAGUGUGUGACCUCACCAAUGCACUUUUGGAAGAAUGGUAGAAAAUUCCUAUAUACACCUUGUGGACAGCCUUCCCAGAAGAGUUGAAGCUGUAACAGCUGCAAAAGGUGGACCGACAUCAUAUUGAACCCUAUGGGUUAGGAAUGGGAUAGCAUUUCAAGUUCAUAUGUGAGUCAAGGCAGGUGUCCAAUUACUUUUGGCAAUAUAGUGUAUGAAUCAGUACAUUCAUCAUUAUAGCAUACACCAGAUUGUUUUUGUGGGUGUGGGGUGUGCGUUUUUUUAGGAUGCACUAGUCUCUGUCUCAGGGUGUUGCCUGGUUUUUGAAGUGUGACCUCCAACACACCUACUAAUAGUAUACACGUUUUUUUACUUUGCACUUGUUAUUUAGAUCCGACCCAGACUGUGUAGCCGACUUGGCAAAGCAGCAUAGCGAUGCUAGUCUGCACAAUACUGAAGCAGGAUGAGUAAAUAACUCCUGCUGCCUGCUGGUUUGCAAAUAUCAAUCACUAGACCCCAAAUAUAAGACAACUUAUCUUUUUUUCUGCCUAUAUUGUGUAGGGAAACAAAUUGUGUUCUUAUGGAUGAAUUAAUACACGCGCACACACACACACACUUUCUUUCGCUGCAGCCAGACAUUGUCUUAGUGGCGACAGGAGGGCUGCGAUGAUGGAUGUGCUGCAUCUUCUUCCACCAGACCGCCUGUGUCUGUGGAGUGGACACGGAGACAGGCGAGGUCAUAGGUCACCACACAUUUUAGCCCCUAUUUUAACUUUAAUGUCUUUGUUUGUGUGUGUGUGUGUGUGUGUGUGUGUGUGUGUGUGUGUGUGUGUGUGUGUGUGUGUGUGUGUGUGUGUGUGUGUGUGUGUGUGUGUGUGUGUGUGUGUGUGUGUGUGUGUGUGUGUGUGUGUGUGUGUGUGUGGCAUCCGUAGUGUCUCCGUGUCUCAGACCCACAUGACGGAGGAUCCUGGGUCUCGUCCUCCCUCCCCAUCUGUCCCGGUACUGCCGCUCUGUCCCCCAAGCUUGCAGCACUGACAGGCUGUGUUGCCACGGUGAUGGAUGACCGUGCGCUCGGUUCCGGUGUCAGAGUCCUGCACCUCUGCUGCCUGCCGCGCGGGUCCCUGUCAAAGACUUCCUCUCGGCUCACAACUGGGACAGGCUGCAAAAGUUAGGAGAGAGACUCAAAUAUGGACAAAAGUGGCCCAGACUAAAGAGCUCUCUGCUAGAACAAACCUUGACAUACACAAGCAGGGCGCAGCCUCCGGUCUUCAGGCCAGGGUCUUCCUGAAGAUCCCGAAAACUCAUUUUAAAACCCGUGGAGACCUGGCAUUCCAGGCCAUAGCUCCCAGACUCUGGAACAACUUGCACCAGUCCCUAUGUGAUCUUGACUGUUUUGAAACUUUUAAGAAACAUUUUAAAAACUUGUCUUUUUAGUAAAGCUUUUAGUUAAUGCACCUUUUAACUAUCAUUUUUGAUACACUUUGUAUCCUUUUUAUGAUGUUGCCCCUGUUGUUUUAAAUUGAAUUGUUGUUUUACUUUACCUAUGUUUUGU